GGUCUUCAGGUGUAAUGGCCAGCACUCUGGACUCUGAAUCCAGUAAUCCGAGUUCAAGUCUCGGUGGAACCU
rnacentral:tRNA from 1 species